UUACACGCGACUUCACCCCAGUCACCGCGGUAACGCCCUCCCCAUGGCCAGUUAACUACUUCUGGUAAAACCCACUUUACUGAUGGUGUGUUCAAGACCCGGGAGCGGAUCCGCGAUUGGCUCAGCGAUUCUGAUUCGCCGAGUUUGCAGACUGCGAGAUCGGCUCCUGGAUCCCGUUCUCCUCGCGGGAAAGCUGGGCCAGCCUCGGACCCGACCUAUUACCCAUAGUGUCGGGCCAUGAGGACCUGACGCCACCCCACCUUCUCCGGUUACCCGCGUCCAUUACGCCUCGGUAGCAACUCAUCGACAAGGGUUGCUGCUGCGGGACUUAACCUGAGCUGACGACAGCCAUGCAGCACCUUGCGAAGUUAACUCCCAAACCUUCGGGAUUCCAGACAUGUCAUGGGUAGGGUAAGGUUUUUCGCGCUGCAUCGAAUUGAACCACACACCCACUGCGGGCAACCCUGUCACUGGAGUUUGUCUGCGAUCAGCUCCUGUCAAUUCAUCGCGCUAGCGCCGCCAAGGCGCCGAAGCGCUCCAACAGCUAGCUGCCGGGCGUGGACUACCAGGUAUCUAACUCCACGCUUUCGUGCAUGAGCAACAGCGGGCCGAGAACUGAGUAGGGCCACUCGCCAGAUCGGCGGUGCCCCCUCCGCAAUCUACGCAUUGGUCACAUGCGGAAUUCCACCUUCCCUCUGACAUUACUCUAGCCUCGGUAGUUGUACGCAGUUCCAGGUGCCAGCUUCCGGGAUUCACAUCUUUCUCUGAACACAAGGCGCGACGCUUACGCCCAGUGGCUCCUGAUUAACGCUUGCACUUGCCGGACAACGAUGCUGGGCAAUGGAAGGCCGGUGCUUACUUUGCAGGUACCGUCAGUUGCACGGGGUAUUUUCAUCCCGUUGCUCGCAGCCAAAAGUGUUUUACUCACCCGAAGGCCUUUCAUCGCAUCACGGGAUGGCUGGACAGGGUUUCCCCACAACCAAAAUUCCCACUGCAGCACCUUCCCGUAGAGUCUGGGCCGUGUCCGUCCCAGUGUAGCUGGCAAACAGUUCACCAUCAUCCAGCAAUCCGGAUAUCGGCCGCUCUAAUACCGCAUACGGGCCCUUCGGGGGAAAGCGGGGGGACCUUCGGCCUCGCACUAUUAGAGCGGCCGAUAUCGGAUUAGCUAGUUGGUGGGGUAACGGCUCACCAAGGCGACGAUCCGUAGCUGGUUUGAGAGGACGGAUCAGCCACACUGGGACUGAGACACGGCCUUGUGACUCCUACGGGAGGCGGGUGGGGAAUUUGGACAAUGGGGGAAACCCUGAUCCAGCCAUCCCGCGUGUGCGAUGAAGGCCUUCGGGUUGUAAAGCACUUUUGGCAGGAAAAGAAACGGCACGGGAUAAUACCCCGUGCACCGACGGUACCUGCAGAAUAAGCACCGGCUAACUACGCCAGCGCAGCCGCGGUAACAUGUAGGUGCAAGCGUUAAUCGGAAUUACUGGGCGUAAGCGUGCAGGCGGUUCGGAAAGAAAGAUGUGAAAUCCCAGAGCUUAACUUUUGAACUGCAUUUUAACUACCGAGCUAGAGUGUGUCAGAGGGAGGUGGAAUUCCGCGUGUAGCAGGAAAAUGGCGUAGAUAUGCGGAGGAACACCGAUGGCGAAGGCAGCUUCCUGGGAUAACACUGACGCUCAUGCACGAAAGCGGAGCAAACAGGAUUAGAUACCCUGGUAGUCCACGCCCUAAACGAUGUCAACUAGCUGUUGGGGCCUUCGGGCUUUGGCGCAGCUAACGCGUGAAGUUGACCGCCUGGGGAGUACGGUCGCAAGAUUAAACUCAAAGGAAUUGACGGGGACCCGCACAAGCGGUGGAUGAUGUGGAUUAAUUCGAUGCAACGCGAAAACCUUACCUACCCUUGACAUGUCUGGAAUCCCGAAGAGAUUUGGGAGUGCUCGCAAGAGAACCGGAACACAGGUGCUGUACAGCUGUCGUCAGCUCGUGUCGUGAGAUGUUGGGUUAAGUCCCGCAACGAGCGCAACCCUUGUCAUUAGUUGCUGCUGAAAGGGCACUAAUGAGACUGUCGCUGCACAAACCGGGAGGAAGGUGGGGAUGACGUCAAGUCCUCAUGGCCCUUAUGGGUAGGGCUUCACACGUCAUACAAUGGUCGGGACAGAGGGUCGCCAACCCGCGAGGGGGAGCCAAUCCCAGAAACCCGAUCGUAGUUCGGAUCGCAGUCUGCAACUCGACUGCGUGAAGUCGGAAUCGCUAGUAAUCGUGGAUCAGCAUGUCGCGGUGAAUACGUUCCCGGGUCUUGUACACACCGCCCGUCACACCAUGGGAGUGGGUUUUACCAGAAGUAGUUAGCCUAACCGUAAGGAGGGCGAUUACUACGGUAGGAUUCAUGACUGGGGUGAAGUCGUAACAAGGUAA
rnacentral:misc_RNA from 1 species